CCUCAUUCUCUUUUAAUAAGUAGCUCUUAUUUAAUUGGCACUGUCAUUAUAUCCUUUUAUGGAAAGACACUUGAGGAUCACAGAGAUUAAGUCACUUGCCUAAAGUGUUGUAUUCAUAUUUAUUGAAUCUUAACGGUGCAUUUGAACCCAGUGUGUCUCACUCCAGAACCCCAAGGGCUUAGUCACCACACAUACUGCUUCUCUGACUCAUGCAUUUAAAUUAACGUGACUCUACAAGUGGCAGAUUCUGGUGGUAUAGAGAGGCAAAAUCAUGAUGGACAGAACAAAUGUAAAACGAAAC
rnacentral:lncRNA from 1 species